AUACGGAGGAUCCGAGCGUUAUCCGGAUUUAUUGGGUUUAAAGGGUGCGCAGGCGGCCAUUUAAGUCAGCGGUUAAAUCGUGGGGCUCAACCCCAUUCUGCCGUUGAUACUGGGUGGCUUGAUUGCGGUCGAGGUUGGCGGACUUCGUUGGGGAGCGGUGAAAUGCAUAGAUAUGACGAAGAACACCGAUUGCGUAGGCAGCUGACCAGAUCGCAAAUGACGCUCAUGCACGAAAGUGCGGGGAUCGAACAGGAUUAGAUACCCUGGUAGUCCGCACAGUAAACGAUGAAUACUUGUUUUCGGCGAUAUAAUGUCGGAGGCAAAGCGAAAGCGAUAAGUAUUCCGCCUGGGGAGUACGCCGGCAACGGUGAAACUCAAAGGAAUUGACGGGG
rnacentral:rRNA from 1 species